rnacentral:rRNA from 1 species
AUGCAGUCAGAACAAAAGAAAGCUAGAAUAGAACAUAUAAAUGAAUUGAAGCGCAGCACAGCAAACAAAGACUCAAUUGCGAUGCAAAACCCUGCAUAUAGCUCAACUGAACAAGAAGUUAGUAUUUCUACCCCUUCUGUAAAUCACAGAAAGCAUGUCACGCGAGGAGAAAGACAAACAUUGCUGCACCGCCGUAACAAACAAUUCACGACAAGACGGAGGAAAAAUGUUACAGUAUCAUCAAAAGAAGAUGCAUCCAUGACGGAAAUCGGCAACAACACAGAGCCUCUACAUCAACCACAAGUAAUGAUUUACGGUAAAAAUCUAAAUUUGAUACAAUACUAG